rnacentral:rRNA from 1 species
AUUGAACGCUGGCGGCAGGCCUAACACAUGCAAGUCGAGCGGAUGAAGGGAGCUUGUUCCUGGAUCCAGCGGCGGACGGGUGUGUAAUGCCUAGGAAUCUCCCUGGCAUUGGGUGAUGACGACCGGAAACGGGUGCUACUACUGCAGACGUCCUGCUCGUGAAGCUUGGGGAUCUUCGGACCUCACGCUCUCUGAUGAGUCUAGGUCGGAUUGGCUAGUUGGUGGGGUAAAGGCCUACCUAGCCGACGAUCCGUGACUGGUCUGACAGGAUGAUUAGUCACACUGGAGCUGAGACACGGUCCAGGGUCCUACGGGAGGCAGCAGUGGGGAAUAUUGGGCAAUGGGCGAAAGCCUGAUCCAGCGAUGCCGAGUGUGUGAAGAAGGUCUUCGGAUUGUAAAGCACGUUAAGUUGGGAGGAAGGGCAGUAGGUUGAUACCUUGCUGUUUUGACGUUACCAACAGAAUAAGCACCGGCUAACUUCGUG